CGAACGCUGGCGGCAGGCUUAACACAUGCAAGUCGAACGGGCGUAGCAAUACGUCAGUGGCAGACGGGUGAGUAACGCGUGGGAACAUACCUCUUGGUUCGGAACAACACAGGGAAACUUGUGCUAAUACCGGAUAAGCCCUUACGGGGAAAGAUUUAUCGCCGAGAGAUUGGUCCGCGUCUGAUUAGCUAGUUGGUGGGGUAAAGGCCUACCAAGGCGACGAUCAGUAGCUGGUCUGAGAGGAUGAUCAGCCACAUUGGGACUGAGACACGGCCCAAACUCCUACGGGAGGCAGCAGUGGGGAAUAUUGGACAAUGGGCGCAAGCCUGAUCCAGCCAUGCCGCGUGAGUGAUGAAGGCCCUAGGGUUGUAAAGCUCUUUUGUACGGGAAGAUAAUGACGGUACCGUAAGAAUAAGCCCCGGCUAACUUCGUGCCAGCAGCCGCGGUAAUACGAAGGGGGCUAGCGUUGCUCGGAAUCACUGGGCGUAAAGGGUGCGUAGGCGGGUUUUUAAGUCAGAGGUGAAAUCCUGGAGCUCAACUCCAGAACUGCCUUUGAUACUGAAAGUCUUGAGUAUGGGAGAGGUGAGUGGAACUGCGAGUGUAGAGGUGAAAUUCGUAGAUAUUCGCAAGAACACCAGUGGCGAAGGCGGCUCACUGGCCC
rnacentral:rRNA from 1 species